rnacentral:rRNA from 1 species
AUUGAACGCUGGCGGCAGGCCUAACACAUGCAAGUCGAGCGGGGUUUUCGGACCUAGCGGCGGACGGGUGAGUAAUGCGUAGGAAGCUGCCCGAUAGAGGGGGAUACCAGUUGGAAACGACUGUUAAUACCGCAUAAUGUCUACGGACCAAAGUGUGGGACCUUCGGGCCACAUGCUAUUGGAUGCGCCUACGUGGGAUUAGCUAGUUGGUGAGGUAAUGGCUCACAAAGGCGACGAUCGCAAGCUGGGUUGAGAGGAUGAUCAGACACACUGGAACUGAGAAACGGUCCAGACUCCUACGGGAGGCAGAAGUGGGGAAUAUUGGACAAUGGGCGCAAGCCUGAUCCGGCCAUGCCGCGUGUGUGAAGAAGGCCUUCGGGUUGUAAAGCACUUUCAGCGAGGAGGAAGGGGUGUGUGUUAAUAGUACACACCUUUGACGUUACUCGCAGAAGAAGCACCGGCUAACUCUGUGCCAGCCGCCGCGGUAAUAC